GAUGAACGCUGGCGGCGUGCCUAAUACAUGCAAGUCGAGCGAACGGACGAGAAGCUUGCUUUUCUGAUGUUAGCGGCGGACGGGUGAGUAACACGUGGAUAACCUACCUAUAAGACUGGGAUAACUUCGGGAAACCGGAGCUAAUACCGGAUAAUAUUUUGAACCGCAUGGUUCAAAAGUGAAAGACGGUCUUGCUGUCACUUAUAGAUGGAUCCGCGCUGCAUUAGCUAGUUGGUAAGGUAACGGCUUACCAAGGCAACGAUGCAUAGCCGACCUGAGAGGGUGAUCGGCGACACUGGAACUGAGACACGGUCCAGACUCCUACGGGAGGCAGCAGUAGGGAAUCUUCCGCAAUGGGCGAAAGCCUGACGGAGCAACGCCGCGUGAGUGAUGAAGGUCUUCGGAUCGUAAAACUCUGUUAUUAGGGAAGAACAUAUGUGUAAGUAACUGUGCACAUCGUGACGGUACCUAAUCAGAAAGCCACGGCUAACUACGUG
rnacentral:rRNA from 1 species